UUUAACGUGGAAACAGUAGAAUAUAAGAACAUUUGUUUCACAGUAUGGGAUGCUGGUGGUCAAGAUAAAAUUAGGCCUCUCUGGAGGCAUUCCUUCCAAAACACCCAGGGUCUUAUUUUUGUGGUAGAUAGUAAUGAUCGUGAAAGAAUUCGGGAAGGAGCUGAAGAGCUGCAGAAAAUGCUUCAGGAAGAUGAGUUGCGAGAUGCAGUGUUGCUGCUUUUUGCGAACAAACAGGAUUUGCCAAAUGCUAUGGCCAUCAGUGAAAUGUCAGAUAAAUUAGGUCUUCAGUCUCUUCGUAACAGAACAUGGUAUCUUCAAGCCCCUUGUGCUACGCAAGGAACUGGUCUGUAUGAGGGACUUGACUGGCUGUCAAAUGAGCUUUCAAAACGUUAA